GAAAAAUGUGAAGUGGUAAUUCAACAUUUUAAUGGAAAAUAUCUGAAAACACCACCAGGCAUCCCAGCCCCCAGUGAGCCUUUGCUGUGCAAAUUCGCUGAUGGAGGACAAAAGAAGCGACAGAAUCAAAGCAAAUAUACCCAGAAUGGGAGGCCUUGGCCCAGGGAAGGAGAGGCUGGCAUGGCUUUGACCUAUGACCCCACAGCUGCCAUACAGAAUGGAUUUUAUUCUUCACCGUACAGUAUUGCAACCAACCGCAUGAUUCCACAGACAUCUAUCACGCCAUUCAUUGCUGCUUCCCCUGUCUCCACAUACCAGGUCCAGAGUACUUCAUGGAUGCCUCAUCCGCCAUACGUUAUGCAACCAACAAUUUAGAAAAAAAAUACUCUGGGAAGAAAGGAUAGAUGUCUCUUUGCAUGGAUUAUAAUUCUGAUGUUUUGGAAAGAAAAGAGAUUUCUGUUACUGGACCCUGGGAACUUAUUG
rnacentral:sRNA from 1 species